GUUUUCCAUUUGCAGUUUAUAGGAAAAGAGGAGAAACGACUAUGAAACAACUGGUCGAAUUCUCGGAUGAGGAAGCCGAUUAUGUUGCUGCCGGAGAUCCUCUAAAAUGAGACGAGUUUCAGUUCUUGGUUCAUUUUUAAGACAUUGUCUGUAAGAUGCCAACAUUUUUCUGGUGGAAGCUUCUAAUUCUCUCUUAUCAUCAAUAUCAAUCUGCUUAUUCCUACACUUUAUACUGCAGUAACCUUGAUCACCCCUGUACAUGUAAAUAUCUUCCUGGGGGUCCAGAUUCUUGUUGCAUAACAAACAUGUUUUCAGAAAGGAUGGGUUAUUAUUAGAAGAACUGGAAACAAGUGAAGGAGAAAGUUUUCU
rnacentral:misc_RNA from 1 species